AAGAGCUUAACUGUUUCUUUUUAUUGCAAAAAAAACAAACAAAAAAACAACAACAACAUGCAACCCCAUUGCCACACUUUGGCAUUGAAAAUGCAUUAAGUUAUUGUUUCAUUUAACUUUCAUUAUUUUCAAGGUAUCUCAUAUCAAGCCUGAUCUGAGUGGUUCAUUAUUAUAUAUUACCCUAAGUUAGAAAAAAUAAAUACACAAUUAAAGAGAAACAAUUUAAAUUUAAGAACAAAUGUAAUUGUUAUGCACUUAUAUUUCUUUAUUAAUUGAUGAUAAAUUUAUUAUGUAUCUCUAUUGAAGUAUAUAUAAUUUAUAUAUUCAUCCUGUGUAGAAGUAACUUAUGCAUAGUGAUUAAUUUCUGGAACAUUCAAAUCAGCAUCAGCCACAAUGUAAAUAUUUAUGACCUCUCAAGUGGAACCCACUGGUUUCAUAACUACCAAGGUUAAACUCACCUAUCUGAUAUAAGAGAAUAAAAAGAGGUAAAGCAGGUUUACAACAUACUAUAUUACACUGUAGCUCUCAAGUAACUUAAUACCCUUGCAGAACAAAUCACAGGUCAGAACACUCCUUCCAGACGGGUCAUUUGAACAGAAGAAUUGAAAGAUAAUGUUUAUUAGUGCCUAACUGCUUAAAAGUUAUAACUUGAAAUAUUAUGUUUGAGCAUUGGAAAUUAGAUCAAAUGAGUUUAAACUGGACAAAUUUACAAAAGUUUUCUGGAAAUAUGAACUUUUAAACAUGUGUAUUUCAUGAUUCAGUUAAAAUGGAGGGAACUACAUGUAUAUAACCAUUUCUAACAGUUGCAAACUUUCAAGUCUUGGAGUCACAUGAGAUGUUUCAACUCAAAGGAUGUCAGAUGAGGGAAAAGUGAUAAAUGUACUGUUGAACAGAACUAUCCUGUAUCCAUCGGAGAGGUCACACCACAAGUCAAGAAGAUGUUGCAUCAUGUGAAGACAGUGAAGUGAAUAAAACACUCUGACAUAGAAAUAAUUGUGAAAUGUGCAAAUUACUAUAAGUGUUUGAAUUCUUGACAACUAGAGUGUUUUUUGGAUUUGGUAAUAAAAACACAAAUGCAAAUUAAAA